rnacentral:rRNA from 1 species
CCUACGGGAGGCAGCAGUGAGGAAUAUUGGUCAAUGGGCGCUAGCCUGAACCAGCCAAGUAGCGUGAAGGAUGACUGCCCUAUGGGUUGUAAACUUCUUUUAUAUGGGAAUAAAGUGCAGUAUGUAUACUGCUUUGCAUGUACCUUAUGAAUAAGGAUCGGCUAACUCCGUGCCAGCAGCCGCGGUAAUACGGAGGAUCCGAGCGUUAUCCGGAUUUCUUGGGUUUAAAGGAAGCGUAGGCGGGUUGUUAAGUCAGUUGUGAAAGUUUGCGGCUCAACCGUAAAAUUGCAGUUGAUACUGGCAUCCUCGAGUACAGUAGAGGUAGGCGGAAUUCGUGGUGUAGCGGUGAAAUGCUUAGAUAUCACGAAGAACUCCGAUUGCGAAGGCAGCCUGCUGGACUGUAACUGACGCUGAUGCUCGAAAGUGUGGGUAUCAAACAGGAUUAGAUACCCCAGUAGUC